rnacentral:rRNA from 1 species
AGUUUUGAUCCUGGCUCAGAACAAACGCUGGCGGCGUGCCUAACACAUGCAAGUCGUACGAGAAAGUCCGCUUCGGUGGAUGAGUAAAGUGGCGCACGGGUGAGUAACGCGUGGAUAAUCUACCCUUUAGUCUGGAAUAACUUAUCGAAAGGUGAACUAAUACCGGAUAAUAUCCCGAUUUCUUCGGCGAUCGGGAUCAAAGAAGGCCUCUGCUUGCAAGCUUUCACUGAAGGAUGGGUCCGCGUACCAUUAGCUAGUUGGCAGGGUAAUGGCCUACCAAGGUUAUGAUGGUUAGCUGGUCUGAGAGGAUGAUCAGCCACACUGGAACUGAAACACGGUCCAGACUCCUACGGGAGGCAGCAGUGAGGAAUAUUGCGCAAUGGGGGCAACCCUGACGCAGCAACGCCGCGUGAGUGAGGAAGGUUUUCGGAUUGUAAAGCUCUGUCGAGCGGAAAGAAGUGCAUGGUGGUUUAAUAUCCAUCAUGCUUGACGGUACCGCUAAAGGAAGCACCGGCUAACUCCGUGCCAGCAGCCGCGGUAAUACGGGGGGUGCAAGCGUUGUUCGGAAUCAUUGGGCGUAAAGCGCGCGUAGGCGGCUGGACAAGUCAGAUGUGAAAGCCCUGGGCUUAACCCAGGAAGUGCAUUUGAAACUGUUCAGCUAGAGUAAGGGAGAGGAAAGUGGAAUUCCUGGUGUAGAGGUGAAAUUCGUAGAUAUCAGGAGGAACACCGGUGGCGAAGGCGACUUUCUGGCCCUAUACUGACGCUGAGACGCGAAAGCGUGGGUAGCAAACAGGAUUAGAUACCCUGGUAGUCCACGCUGUAAACGAUGUUCACUAGGUGUUGGGGGUAUUGACCCUUCCAGUGCCGCAGCUAACGCAUUAAGUGAA